rnacentral:rRNA from 1 species
UGGCGGACAUGCCUAACACAUGCAAGUCGAACGGAAUAGGUUUAGCUGUAGCGAUACUUUGGACCUAGUUAGUGGCGAACGGGUGAGUAACACGUGAGCAACCUGCCUUUUACACAGGGAUAACAGCCGGAAACGGCUGCUAAUACCGGAUAAGACCACACCGAGGCAUCUCGGAGGGGUCAAAGCGAAUUAGCGGUAAAAGAUGGGCUCGCGUCCCAUUAGCUAGUUGGUGAGAUAACAGCCCACCAAGGCGACGAUGGGUAGCCGACUUGAGAGAGUGAUCGGCCACAUUGGAACUGAGACACGGUCCAGACUCCUUCGGGAGGCAGCAGUGGGAAUAUUGGGCAAUGGAGGAAACUCUUACCCAGACAAUGCCGCGUGAAUGAAGAAGGCCGUUCGGGUUAGUAAAGUUUCUUUUAUUGAUGAAUAAAGAAAGUGAUAUUAGUCAAUGAAUAAGCCCCGGCUAACUAUGUGCCAGCAGCCGC